rnacentral:rRNA from 1 species
AUUGAACGCUGGCGGCAUGCCUUACACAUGCAAGUCGAACGGUAACAGGUCUUCGGAUGCUGACGAGUGGCGAACGGGUGAGUAAUACAUCGGAACGUGCCUAGUAGUGGGGGAUAACUACUCGAAAGAGUGGCUAAUACCGCAUGAGAUCUACGGAUGAAAGCAGGGGAUCGCAAGACCUUGCGCUACUAGAGCGGCCGAUGGCAGGUUAGGUAGUGGGUGGGAUAAAAGCUUACCAAGCCGACGAUCUGUAGCUGGUCUGAGAGGACGAUCAGCCACACUGGGACUGAGACACGGCCCAGACUCCUACGGGAGGCAGCAGUGGGGAAUUUUGGACAAUGGGCGCAAGCCUGAUCCAGCAAUGCCGCGUGCAGGAUGAAGGCCUUCGGGUUGUAAACUGCUUUUGUACGGAACGAAAAGCCCCGGGUUAAUACCCUGGGGUCAUGACGGUACCGUAAGAAUAAGCACCGGCUAACUACGUGCCAGCCGCCGCAGUAA